rnacentral:rRNA from 1 species
CUAGCGUUGCUCGGAAUCACUGGGCGUAAAGCGCACGUAGGCGGAUUGUUAAGUCGGGGGUGAAAUCCUGGAGCUCAACUCCAGAACUGCCUUCGAUACUGGCGAUCUUGAGUCCGGGAGAGGUGAGUGGAACUCCGAGUGUAGAGGUGAAAUUCGUAGAUAUUCGGAAGAACACCAGUGGCGAAGGCGGCUCACUGGCCCGGUACUGACGCUGAGGUGCGAAAUCGUGGGGAGCAAACAGG